GCCUUCGUAGUGUAGUGGUCAGCACGCUCGGCGCGUAUUCGAGAGGUCCAUGGUUCGAGUCCCGGCGAGGGCA
rnacentral:tRNA from 1 species